UGAACACAGCUGGUGGUAUCCAGA
rnacentral:ncRNA from 4 species